CAGCCGCCGCGGUAAUACGAAGGGGGCUAGCGUUGUUCGGAUUUACUGGGUGUAAAGGGCGCGUAGGCGGACUGAUAAGUCAGGGGUGAAAUCCCAAGGCUCAACCUUGGAACUGCCUUUGAUACUGUUUGUCUUGAGUUCGAGAGAGGUAAGUGGAACUGCGAGUGUAGAGGUGAAAUUCGUAGAUAUUCGCAAGAACACCAGUGGCGAAGGCGGCUUACUGGCUCGAAACUGACGCUGAGGCGCGAAAGCGUGGGGAGCAAACAGGAUUAGAUACCCCAGUAGUCCCUGUCUCUUAUAC
rnacentral:rRNA from 1 species